UACGUAGGGGGCGAGCGUUGUCCGGAGUUACUGGGCGUAAAGGGCACGCAGGCGGUCUGCCGCGUUUCGGGUGACAGCGGAGGGCUUAACUCUCCGAGUGGUCGAAAGACGGGCAGACUUGAGAGCCAGAGAGGGACACGGAAUUCCGGGUGGAGUGGUGUAAAUGCGUAGAGAUCCGGAGGAACACCGAAAGCGAAGGCAGGUG
rnacentral:rRNA from 1 species